UACAUAGGUAGCAAGCGUUAUCCGGAAUAACUGGGCGUAAAGGGAGCGUAGGUGGCGAGGUAAGUCUCAUGUGAAAUCCCUUGGCUUAACCAAGGAACUGCAUGUGAUACUGCUUUGCUAGAGUGUGAGAGAGGUAAGCGGAAUUCCUAGUGUAGCGGUAGAAUGCGUAGAGAUUAGGAGGAACACCAGAGGCGAAGGCGGCUUACUGGCUCAUAACUGACACUGAGGCUCGAAAGCGUGGGGAGCAAAC
rnacentral:rRNA from 1 species